rnacentral:rRNA from 1 species
UACGUAGGGUGCGAGCGUUAAUCGGAAUUACUGGGCGUAAAGCGUGCGCAGGCGGUUGUGCAAGACAGAGGUGAAAGCCCCGGGCUCAACCUGGGAAUGGCAUUGGAAACUGGCGGACUAGAGUGUGGCAGAGGGGGUGGAAUUCCGCGUGUAGCAGUGAAAUGCGUAGAGAUGCGGAGGAACACCGAUGGCGAAGGCAGCCCCCUGGGCUAACACUGACGCUCAGGCACGAAAGCGUGGGGAGCAAACAGG